UACGUAGGGUCCGAGCGUUGUCCGGAAUUACUGGGCGUAAAGAGUCCGUAGGUGGUUUGUCGCGUUGUUCGUGAAAACUCACAGCUCAACUGUGGGCGUGCGGGCGAUACGGGCAGACUAGAGUACUGCAGGGGAGACUGGAAUUCCUGGUGUAGCGGUGGAAUGCGCAGAUAUCAGGAGGAACACCGGUGGCGAAGGCGGUUCUCUGGGCAUGUCCUGACGCUGAGGAGCGAAAGUGUGGGGAGCGAACAGG
rnacentral:rRNA from 1 species